GACGAACGCUGGCGGCGUGCUUAACACAUGCAAGUCGAACGGGCCUUGUCCCCUUUUUUUUUGGGGGUGGGGUUAGUGGCGAACGGGUGAGUAGCACGUGAGUAACCUGCCCCUCACUUCUGGAUAACCGCUUGAAAGGGUGGCUAAUACGGGGUGUUCUGGCCUGCUCGCAUGGGUGGGUUUGGAAAGAUUCGACCGGUUUUGGUUGUUUUGGUGGGGGAUGGGCUCGCGGCCUAUCAGCUUGUUGGUGGGGUGAUGGCCUGCCAAGGCUUUGACGGGUAGCCGGCCUGAGAGGGUGGGCGGUCACACUGGGACUGAGACACGGCCCAGACUCCUACGGGAGGCAGCAGUGGGGAAUAUUGCACAAUGGGCGCAAGCCUGAUGCAGCGACGCCGCGUGAGGGAUGGAGGCCUUCGGGUUGUGAACCUCUUUCGCCAGUGAAGAAGGUCCUGCUCUUUGUGGUGGGGUUGACGGUAGCUGGGUUAAUGAAGCGCCGGCUAACUACGUG
rnacentral:rRNA from 1 species